GGACUUCCCUCCCUGCGCGCCAGAACUUUGCGUUGUUCUUAGUGGCAUCUGGGGUCGAGGAGGGCGACUGUCAGCCAGUUGGGGGAUGUUUUCUUCUUGGUCUCUCGGCUUCUGCUUCCCUGUGAGCUGGGCAGCCUCAGCCCAGGUCCUAUCCGGUACUCAGCUGGCCUCGGUGUGCACAGCGCAGGCUUGAGUGCAGCCGUGGGGGCGGGCGGGGCAGAAGCAGGGCCCCUGGGAACAGCUGAGUCUGAAGGGUCAGAAGCCACGGCCCCUGUGGGGGGCUCUGGGGCAGCCAGGGGAGCUGCUCGUUAGUCGUCUCUGGGGCAGAAGGAAGGGACCUUCACCUGGGUUGGGACUGGGCCUGGGUCCCCAGUCUCACAGGGAGCUCGUCCUGAUUGUACCUGCCCGGCUGUGACGGCUGAGCCCGGGCUCCUGGAGGCAAGGCCACCUCAGGCCUCCAGGGCCGGAGCCGCAAGGAGCUGCUGGGUUUCCACAGGGCCACGGGGGCUGCGGCCACACGGAGCGGGAGCACAGGUGGGAAGGGUGUCUGUGAAAAAUGAAAUCUGUUGCCGCUUCCUCUAGCUUAAUUACUGGCAUGGUGGUUGCAGAGUUGAAAUGCAGCUUUAAAAGCCUUUGUGAGUAAUUAGUGUCAAACACACAAGAUCUACAAAGCCAUAAACUCACAGCUUGGUGAUAUUACCAAGUACUAAUUAAGAAAGAAAAAAGAAAAUUCCCUUUCAUGAUCAAAUUUUGAGCCCUGCCAAAGAUGAAAAACAAGGCAAUUUGCAGCCGAUGGCGACGCCGGAGGGUGGGGACACUGAAGCUGAGCUCACAGCCAGGAGAGGGACAGCAGAGUGACGGCCGAGACCAUCUGCACUGCGAGGGAAGCAGCGCCCACCUUCCUUGGUGGUCCGGGAAGGCCGGACCGGCCCCUUGGGUCCCCACUGGCCUCAGCCACUGUGGGCUCGUCCAGCUUCAGG
rnacentral:lncRNA from 1 species